rnacentral:rRNA from 1 species
GUAGUUGAACCUUGGGCCUGGCUGGCCGGUCCGCCUCACCGCGUGCACUGGUUCGGCCGGGCCUUUCCCUCUGGGGAGCCCUAUGCCCUUCACUGGGUGUAGUGGGGAACCAGGACUUUUACUGUGAAAAAAUUAGAGUGUUCAAAGCAGGCCUAUGCUCGAAUACAUCAGCAUGGAAUAAUAGAAUAGGACGUGUGGUUCUAUUUUGUUGGUUUCUAGGACCGCCGUAAUGAUUAAUAGGGACAGUCGGGGGCAUCAGUAUUCAAUUGUCAGAGGUGAAAUUCUUGGAUUUAUUGAAGACUAACUACUGCGAAAGCAUUUGCCAAGGAUGUUUUCAUUAAUCAGGAACGAAAGUUAG